GGUGGCUCAGUGGUAGAGCACUUGCCUUGCAAGCAUGAGGCCCUGGGUUCGAUUCCUCAGUACCA
rnacentral:tRNA from 1 species